rnacentral:rRNA from 1 species
GACGAACGCUGGCGGCGUGCCUAAUACAUGCAAGCAGAACGCACAGGAUGCACCGUAGUUUACUACACCGUAUUCUGUGAGUUGCGAACGGGUGAGUAACGCGUAGGUAACCUGCCUGGUAGCGGGGGAUAACUAUUGGAAACGAUAGCUAAUACCGCAUAAGAACAUUUACUGCAUGGUAGAUGUUUAAAAGGUGCAAGAGCAUCACUACCAGAUGGACCUGCGUUGUAUUAGCUAGUUGGUGAGGUAACGGCUCACCAAGGCAACGAUACAUAGCCGACCUGAGAGGGUGAUCGGCCACACUGGGACUGAGACACGGCCCAGACUCCUACGGGAGGCAGCAGUAGGGAAUCUUCGGCAAUGGGGGGAACCCUGACCGAGCAACGCCGCGUGAGUGAAGAAGGUUUUCGGAUCGUAAAGCUCUGUUGUUAAGGAAGAACGUGUGUGAGAGUGGAAAGUUCACACAGUGACG